GGAAGGAUCAUUAUUGAAUAAACUUGUACAGGUUGUUGCUGGCCCCCCUCUUCUUGAGGAGGGUAUGUGCACGCUUGUCAUCUUUAUCAUUUCUCCAACUGUGCACAUACUGUAGACCCGGGGAGCAUUUUUUUUCCUCUGAGGAUUCAAUCAUUGGGGUCUGCCGCGCUUUCAAAAUAAAGUCGGCUUUCCCUCGUAUUUUCCCUGGUCUAUGUCUUUAUCACAUCCUCUACAUUUCAUUAUGAAUGAUCAAUCAGGUCCUUUUUGUACCUAUAAAAAAAGUUAAUACAACUUUCAGCAACGGAUCUCUUGGCUCUCGCAUCGAUGAAGAACGCAGCGAAAUGCGAUAAGUAAUGUGAAUUGCAGAAUUCAGUGAAUCAUCGAAUCUUUGAACGCAUCUUGCGCUCCUUGGUAUUCCUAGGAGCAUGCCUGUUUGAGUGUCAUUUAUCUUCUCUCAACCCCAUCAUUCAGAAUGGUGAGGCAAGAGGUUCUGGGGGUUCGUGCAGGCUUAUCAAAGUCCGCUCUCCUCAAUUACAUUAGUGGUAUCUGAGCUGCUAUUCGGUGUGAUAAUUUAUCUAUCCCCUACAUAUCCUGCAUCAGUCCUGCUUCUAACAAUCAUUUGACAAAUUUGACCUCAAAUCAGGUAGGACUACCCGCUGAACUUAAGCAUAUCAAUAAGCGGAGGAAAAGAAACUAACAAGGAUUCCCCUAGUAACUGCGAGUGAACCGGGAAACGCUCAAAUUUGUAAUCUGGCAGCUCUCUGAUCUGUCCGAGUUGUAAUCUAGAGAAGUGUUACCUGUGCUGG
rnacentral:misc_RNA from 1 species